UCCUCGGUCGCGAUACGCCCAGUCCGAGA
rnacentral:sRNA from 1 species